AAUGUGGCCAGCUGGCUGGUGUGCUCAUCAUGCAAACACACCUAUAGGCAAACCAGGCAGCCAAGCAGGAAGUCAUAUGUGUAGAAACCAUGGUGGUGAUAGAGGGGAGAAACUGUGGCCUGGGCAGAGAAUGUGCUCUGGGAGGCUACUAGAACUUCAAGUAAACCAGGAAGCAGUGUGGUGAGGGCUAUGGAAAGCUCAUAGCCACCACCUAUUUCCAAAUUAAGGACUAUCACUCAUGCUUGAAAGUUGUGGGGGCUAUAUCUACUCCAUUUUUUUGUUUUGUUUCUUGGAGCCAGGUGGAGGAAUACCCAUUAAUAACGACUUGCCGAAAGAUUGUUUGGGUAAAAAACAAGCUGACUGGAUUGCAAAUUGCAGAUUCUGCCUACCUCUGAGGCUGUGGGAAAACAAGCUGCUGCUAUGCUUCCUUGCCUGCUAUGGAGCCAGGGCUUUAUUUUACAGCUGGAACUCACCGGAACUCAGGUUGAUACUAUUGCCAUUAUAAGAGGCUUUCGUGUGCAAGAGCCCUGUCCUUCUUUGCAUUUCAUCAGUGGUCAGGAGAGUAUCAAUAUUUGGAAAUCAUGCUAGAAUACUUUUUUGGAAGGUCUUCUUUGUUGGGAGGUAAGUCCUCCCAUUAUGCAGUGUGAGGCCCAUGAAAGGAUCAGCCCUAUGACUGGGAUCCUCACCUGACCCACUUCAAGGCAGAAGCAGAUUUCACAGCCUUGAAAGUAUUUCCUCUGAGUUACACCAGUGAAGAUUUUCUUCAGCUUCCCUCUGUGGUCAACAUUCAAGGAGCGCCACACUUGACAAUCCUGGGUGUAAGAAAAAGGGUUGAUCUGCCCAUUUCCACACAACUUUACCUGAAAGAAGGUUACCUUCAGUCAUACCGAUAACAUUCCCCACCUUUGGGUUAUUGACUUGUUUAAGGCCUUUUAAUGUAACCAUUCAACACCCCAAGGUGGUUUACCACACAAACAUCCUAAUACAAGAAAGAAAAGUCUGUUUCAA